AACGAACGCUGGCGGCGUGGAUAAGACAUGCAAGUCGAACGCUGACAUUCAGGUAGCAAUAUUUGGAUGUCGGAGUGGCGCAAGGGUGCGUAACACGUGGGUAAUUUGCCGUGAAGUCUGGGAUAACUUGCUGAAAGGCGAGCUAAUACCGGAUGUGAAUGUAAGAAGGCAUCUUUUGACAUUCAAAGUUGGGGACCGCAAGGCCUGACGCUUUACGAUAAGCCCGCGGCCUAUCAGCUAGUUGGUGAGGUAACGGCUCACCAAGGCUAAGACGGGUAGCUGGUCUGAGAGGACGACCAGCCUCACUGGAACUGAGACACGGUCCAGACACCUACGGGUGGCAGCAGUCGAGAAUUUUUCUCAAUGGGCGAAAGCCUGAAGGAGCGACGCCGCGUGGGGGAUGAAUGGCUUCGGCCCGUAAACCCCUGUCAUUUGUGAACAAAUUAAUCUACCCAACACGUGGAUUAUUGAUUGUAACGGAAGAGGAAGGGACGGCUAACUCUGUGCCAGCAGCCGCGGUAAUACAGAGGUCCCAAGCGUUGUUCGGAUUCACUGGGCGUAAAGGGUGCGUAGGCGGUUUGACAAGUCUGAUGUGAAAUCCCGCAGCUUAACUGCGGAACUGCAUUGGAAACUAUU
rnacentral:rRNA from 1 species